AUAAACCGGAGGAAGCGGGGAUGACGUCAAGUCCUCAUGGCCCUUACCAUCCCGGGCUACACACGUGCUACAAUGGCAGGUACAGAGGGCUGCGAAGCCGCGAGGUGGAGCGAAUCCCAGAAAACCUGUCUCAGUCCGGAUUGAAGUCUGCAACUCGACUUCAUGAAGGCGGAAUCGCUAGUAACCGCGAAUCAGCAGGUCGCGGUGAAUACGUUCCCGGGCCUU
rnacentral:rRNA from 1 species